rnacentral:rRNA from 1 species
AUCGAACGCUGGCGGCAUGCCUAACACAUGCAAUUCGAACGAGUGGCGGACGGGUGAGUAAUGUCUGGUAAACUGCCUGUUGGUGGGGGAUAACUACUGGAAACGGUAGCUAAUACCGCAUACCUUCUGAUGUGCCCAGAUGGUAUUAGCUUGUAGGUGGGGUAACGGCUCACCUAUGCGACGAUCCCUAGCUGGUCUGAGAGGAUGACCAGCCACACUGGAACUGAGACACGGUCCAAAGGCCAACGAGAGGCAGCAGGGGGGAAUAGUGCGCAAUGGGAGAAAGCCUGAUGCAGCCAUGCCGCGUGUAUGAAGAAGGCCUUCAGGUUGUAAGGUACUUUAAGCGGGGAGGCGUUACCCGCAGAAGAAGCACCGGCUAACUCCGUGCCAGCAGCCGCGGUAAUUC